AGCUUUGCGCAGUGGCAGUAACAUAGUCUGAUGAGGUUCACUCCGAGGGGCGUGUUUAUUGGCUAGUUGAAAACUAUACCCAAUUACCCCGCCCUGUGGACGUGUAAACCGUUCGCUGUGGCAAUUUCUGAUGGGUUCCCCGGAAC
rnacentral:snRNA from 1 species